rnacentral:rRNA from 1 species
AACGAACGCUGGCGGCAUGCCUAACACAUGCAAGUCGAACGAGACCUCAGGGACUGGUGGCGCAUGGGUGCGUCACGCGUGGGAACCUGCCCUUAGGCUCGGAAUUACUCCUUGAAAGGGGUGCUAAUAUCGGAUAACGUACUCGGACCAAAGAUUGGUCGUGCUUGGAGGGGCCCGCGUUGGUUUAGCCGGUUGGUAGGGGAAAAGCCUACCAAGGCGUCGAUCCAUAGCUGGGUUGAGAGGAUGGUUCGCCACACUGAGACUGGGACACGGCGCAGACUCCUGCGGGAGGCAGCAGUGGGGAAUAUUGGACUAUGGGCUGAGUCCUGAACCAGCAAGGCCUGGAAAGUGAUGAAGUCCUUAGAGAUAUAAAGCACUUUAACCCGGGGUGAUAAUGACAGUACCGAGAGAAUAAGCACCGGCUAACUCCGUG